CAUGCACAGCCUAUGCAUCUGCAUGAUCCAUUGAACCCUGCGACCUGCGUGCAGAUAAGCUGCCACAUAGGGUAUAUAUCAACUCCAGCUGAGACCACCGACGAAACUCGCGAAAACUAAAAAGGAAGUGAUCCAGACCACAGACCAGCAGACGGACAAUGAUGUACGCGAAAGGAUGGUGGCCAAGUACAACGAACUCACUUCUCCUUGACUAAUUGCGUGUGUCUGGACGAGCUAGCUAGAAAGCAGGGCCGGCAUCUCCGAAAUCACACGUGUCCUUAAUUCUGAAGUAGAGAAAUCACUUGAUCUGUAGUAGUGGAGUACUCGUCCUACCGCACCGAGUCUGUCUGUCGGCCGAGGAAUCGCCGGCGAGCCUACAGAGCACGAGGGAUUCAAGAAUCCAAGAAUAGCGCGAGACCCUGGAAUCCAAGUUGCGGAUUUUUUGCCGCCGCGAGGCCAACGUACUACCAAGACGGAAAAGGGAACAACCAACGCCGCCCCGAUCGACGCAAGACGUCCAACCGAGAGCCUCCUGCUAUGCGCACCGGCGAAGAAGAAGGAGGUAGAGGGGCCAACGAAGACCGCGGCAGAGGGGACAACACCGCUGCCCCUUGCGGGGAGUCCCAGGGAGGAGCGUCCUGCUCUUUUAGCAUAUCCUCACCGCCACGCGGCGGCGAGACCAGCACCGAUGCCAUCUUCACCGGCGAGAACGCCACAACACCGGCUGACGUAUGAAGACACUGUGGCGAAACCUCCUCUACUUCAGGCGGCACCUACAUGGGUCACCACAGACUUCAAAGUAUUGCAAGCUUAGCACGGUUGUGUAAAUAUUUAUAAACAAACAACCAUAUCAUUUCAUAACAAUACAUCGUUUAUGUUGUAAGAAAAUAACAAUUUACCUCGUGCAAAGGCAAAUAAAACACUUCACGAUCAUAUGUAGCCGAAGGAACAGCCAGGAUAUAAAGCCACGUAAC